rnacentral:rRNA from 1 species
AUUGGCGAGAGACCGAUAGCGAACAAGUACCGUGAGGGAAAGAUGAAAAGCACUUUGGAAAGAGAGUUAAACAGUACGUGAAAUUGCUGAAAGGGAAACGCUUAAAGUCAGUCGCGUUUGCUAGAACUCAGCCUUGCCUCGGCUUGGUGCAUUUUCUAGUGAACGGGCCAGCAUCACUUUUGGCUGCGGGAAAAAGGUCAGAGGAAUGUGGCACCUUCGGGUGUGUUAUAACCUCUGGCUGUAUACCGUGGCUGGGAGUGAGGAACUCAGCACGCCUUCAUGGCGGGGCUUCGGCCACCUUCGUGCUUAGGAUGCUGGCGUAAUGGCUUUAAACGACCCGUC